AGCGAACGCUGGCGGCAGGCUUAACACAUGCAAGUCGAGCGGGCAUCCUUGUGGUGUCAGCGGCAGACGGGUGAGUAACGCGUGGGAACGUGCCCUUCGGUUCGGAAUAACUCAGGGAAACUUGAGCUAAUACCGGAUACGUGCGAGAGCAGAAAGGUUUAUCUGCCGAAGGAUCGGCCCGCGUCUGAUUAGCUAGUUGGUGAGGUUACGGCUCACCAAGGCGACGAUCAGUAGCUGGUCUGAGAGGAUGAUCAGCCACACUGGGACUGAGACACGGCCCAGACUCCUACGGGAGGCAGCAGUGGGGAAUAUUGGACAAUGGGGGCAACCCUGAUCCAGCCAUGCCGCGUGAGUGAUGACGGCCUUAGGGUUGUAAAGCUCUUUUCUCCGGGACGAUAGUGACGGUACCGGAGGAAUAAGCCCCGGCUAACUUCGUG
rnacentral:rRNA from 1 species